rnacentral:rRNA from 1 species
CGUAGGGUGCAAGCGUUAAUCGGAAUUACUGGGCGUAAAGCGUGCGCAGGCGGUUGUGCAAGACAGGUGUGAAAUCCCCGGGCUUAACCUGGGAACUGCACUUGUGACUGCACGGCUGGAGUACGGCAGAGGGGGAUGGAAUUCCGCGUGGUAGCAGUGAAAUGCGUAGAUAUGCGGAGGAACACCGAUGGCGAAGGCAGUCCCCUGGGCCUGUACUGACGCUCAUGCACGAAAGCGUGGGGAGCAAACAGGAUUAGAUACCCUGGUAGUCCACGCCCUAAACGAUGUCAACUGGUUGUUGGGAAGGUUUCUUCUCAGUAACGUAGCUAACGCGUGAAGUUGACCGCCUGGGGAGUACGGCCGCAAGGUUG